CAUACGAGAUAGAACAGAACACAGAUGUCCCGACAGAGUCUGAUUCUGCGGAGAACAUGGGAAGGGGGAAGCGCAAAAAGAGGUCUAGGAGAGUGAUUCUGUCCAGCGAGGAAGAUGAUGAUGAUGACGACCCUACACCUCCACUACCUCCAUCCUCCCUCAGGUCAGCCAUGUCACCACCCUAAACCCCGCAAAUGCAAGUAAGGGACAACAU